rnacentral:rRNA from 1 species
GACGAACGCUGGCGGCGUGCCUAAUACAUGCAAGUUGAGCGAUGAAGACUGGUGCUUGUACCAAUUUGAAGAGCAGCGAACGGGUGAGUAAAGCGUGGGGAAUCUGUCUUUUAGCGGGGGACAACAUUUGGAAACGAAUGCUAAUACCGCAUAACAACUUUAAACAUAAGUUUUAAGUUUGAAAGAUGCAAUUGCAUCACUCAAUGAUGAUCUCGCGUUGUAUUAGCUAGUUGGUGAGGUAAAGGCUCACCAAGGCGAUGAUACAUAGCCGACCUGAGAGGGUGGUCGGCCACAUUGGGACUGAGACACGGCCCAAACUCCUACGGGAGGCAGCAGUAGGGGAUCUUCGGCAAUGGACGAAAGUCUGACCGAGCAACGCCGCGUGAGUGAAGAAGGUUUUCGGAUCGUAAAACUCUGUUGGUAGAGAAGAACGUUGGUGAGGGUGGAAAGCUCAUCAAGUGACGGUAACUACACAGAAAGGGACGGCUAACUACGUG